CCUACGGGGGGCAGCAGUAGGGAAUAUUGCUCAAUGGGGGAAACCCUGAAGCAGCAACGCCGCGUGGAGGAUGAAGGUUUUAGGAUUGUAAACUCCUUUUGUUAGAGAAGAUUAUGACGGUAUCUAACGAAUAAGCACCGGCCAACUCCGUGCCGGCCGCCGAGGUAAUAAGGAGGGUGCAAGCGUUACUCGGAAUCACUGGGCGUAAAGAGGGCGUAGGCGGGGUAAUAAGUCUGAUGUGAAAUCCUGUAGCUUAACUUCAGAACUGCAUUUGAAACUGUUGCGCUGGAGUGUGGGAGAGGUAGGUGGAAUUCUUGGUGUAGGGGUAAAAUCCGUAGAGAUCAAGAGGAAUACUCAUUGCGAAGGCAGCCUGCUGGAACAUUACUGACGCUGAGGCACGAAGGCGUGGGGAGCGAACAGGAUUAGAUACCCGAGUAGUC
rnacentral:rRNA from 1 species